GCUGGACCAAAAACAUAAACGUGUACGAAGCAUUGCACAAGAAAGGAACAGUGAAGACAAAUUUCAACUUUUCAACCCACACCACACAAAAAAACACUACCACCAAUUCCAACCUUUAAACACACAACUUCAGCCUGACCAUCGUAGAACAAAAUCUAUUUUUCACUUUCUAAAUUUUAUAUCUUUUAAUACUAUUAUACGAUUUGAAACAAAAGAUAGAGAAAAUACAUGUCUUUCUGAUGCCGGUGAAGACGAAAGGUCUAUUGAUGUUAUAUGUUCUCUUUAAGUCAGUUGAGAUGGGUUCGAAAAUCUUUAUGCAAGGAGGCAUAAGCAUAAGAUGAAGAAGAAGGUUUGGUUGACUGACAUGAAAGCAAAACGACAGCCUGACUGGGGUUGGCUGGAGUGUGUUGCCGACACAAAUAAUGAAAAAUUUCAAAUAUCUUAUCUUUGUUUUAUAUUAUUUUAAAUUUGGUGAUAUAUUUAAAUUUGAAUUGUAAAAUACUAAAUUUUAGAUUUCUGAUAACAACUGCAAAAUAUUUAUUAGGUAUAUUAUUAUUAA